rnacentral:rRNA from 1 species
CCUACGGGAGGCAGCAGUGAGGAAUAUUGGUCAAUGGGGGCGAGCCUGAAGCAGCCAAGUAGCGUGAAGGAUGACUGUCCUACGGGUUGUAAACUUCUUUUAUAAAGGAAUAAAGUGAGGCACGUGUGCCUUUUUGUAUGUACUUUAUGCAUAAGGAUCGGCUAACUCCGUGCUAGCGGCCGCGGUAAUACGGAGGAUCCUGGCGUUAUCCGGAUUUAUUGGGUUGAAAGGGAGCGUAGAUGGGUUGUUAAGUCAGUUGUGAAAGUUUGCGGCUCAACCGUAUAAUUGCAAUUGAUACUGGAAGUCUUGAGUACAGUUGAGGUAGGCGGAAUUCGUGGUGUAGCGGUGAAAUGCUUAGAUAUCACGAAGAACUCCGAUUGCGAAGGCAGCUUACUAAACUGCCACUGACAUUGAUGCUCGAAAGUGUGGGUAUCAAACAGGAUUAGAUACCCUAGUAGUC